AUGAAGGAGGAGAAGUACCUCAAGGAGGAGGGGAGAGAACUGGUGAAGGAGAAGAAGCAGAUGGAGCCGACGGACAUGCCCGAGGAGCACCAGAGGUUAGAUUUGUCCAGCCCCGGCUGCAGUUCUGUUAAGCAGAGUCGAGAUUUGUUGGAUAGGAUCGAGCGCAGCGCACAGCGGCAACUGGUUGUUACGGAUGAAAUCAGGCGCUUGAGCCAGCAGAUGAGGGCUGUCAAAGCCCGCAGCCUGACGGAUAUUCUGGGCGUGGAGCACAAGACUGAAGAAACUGCAGCCUUGGAUGAGCGUAAUCCUGCUAAUGGCGGGGAGCUCAAGCCGGAAACUGCAGCCUUGAAUGGGCAUGAGGCUGAUGGCGGUGCUGCCAAUGGCGGGGAGCACAAGAUGGAAACUGACGCCUUGGAUGAGAAGAUGGCCCCUGAACAGAAGGAAUUUGCUCAGUACGCUGAUGCCUGGGAUGAUAAAUGGGGAUCCAAUGGGUUCGGUCUCUUCCAUUACAUGACGACGAUCAGUUCCAUGCAAUAUACACACUUGAUACCCGGGAGCGCCCCAAGGCACUAUUGUCGAGCCGCGCCUAGCCUCCAGGUCGUCUCCAUCAAACUGGCAGAAAUUCAAGGUGGUCCGGAAUGGCCGUUGCCAGUGUACGGUAUGAUUGCUGUCAGAGACCAUGUGGAUCACAAUCGCAACCUUCUGUUUGCCUGCUAUAGGAGCAGGUGUCAGAUACUCAAGGAAAAGGAGCCCUUUUUGGCCUUGACUGGCCCCUCCCGUGCAAUUGUGUGCAAGGAAUCGGUUGACUUUGAAAUCCAACUGAAAGUAAGAGGUACAACGGAGUCUGAAGAUAGAGCAUUGAUCACUGGUGUGUGCACUUACAACAGAGGGGAUGAUACUGUUUGCUUUACGAACUGCUUCUGCACCGCAGAGUUUAGAUUGGAGGUACUUCAGGAAACAGUCCAGGCCACUGUUUUGGGUGUCCGUGUCAAAGAUGGGUCAUGGCCUUCUGGAUGUGGAGGUCGAGUCACUUGCUCACUCAUUGAUGGUGAAAUUGACGACACACCCGGGCAACUUGAGCUGCUUGUUUCUCGUGGCAGUGCCAUGCCCGUGACUUCUGAGGGUUACCUUCUUCUGUCAAGGAAUGUCGUUUCUGUGGAUGUUAACAGGAACCUGAAUUUUCUCCUAGAGGCCUGCUUACCAUCUGGUGAUAUCAUUGCACAAAAAGUAUUGUCCUUUGAACCCAAACUUUGCAACAUAAGUCAGGGUAGUUGUGAACUUAAUGGUAUUGAGUUGGAGAUCACUGUUGCUUGGUCUUGUCUUGUUUCUGAGAAGCGGGAUAUUUCGGUACAAGGAUGUGUUGGUGAUGAGGAGCAGGACGGGGACAUUGCAUCAAUGGAGCAGCAGGUGCCGAAGAUAGACUCCAAAUUGACAUCGGAGGUGGGGCCCGAGGCGGAGACGGAGUCGGCGAUGAGUCUGGAUACCAGUGAAUUGGCGAAUGAAUCGAGUACCUCCAUGUUCAUAUCAGACAAGUCAAUACUUGAACCUGCAGAUUCUGUUGCCACCAACACAGGUUACGAUGUUGAGAAGAUGUAUAGAGGCAAAUCAGACGAACAAUUAAAAAUUGAGGCCAAGGAGAUGGCUGCCGAACAGAAGAGUUUUGACAUGUAUGUUGAUGCCUGGGAAGGGUCAUGGGGUUAUGAUGGGUUCGGUUGCUUCCGGGACAUGACGACAGUGAGUUCCAUGCAAUACACACACUUGGUACCAGGGAGCACCCCGUUGCACUAUGGUCGAGUAUUGCACUAUGGUCGAGUGUUGCCUAGCCUGCAGAUAUUCUCCGUUAAACUCGCAGAAAUACGAGGUGGUCUGGAAUGGCCGUUGCCAGUGUACGGCACGGUCGCUGCCCGAGACCAUGUGGAUCACAAUCGCAACCUUCUGUUUGCCCGCAACAGGAGCGAGUGCCAGAUACUCAAUGAAGAGGACUCCUUUUUGACCUUGACUGGCCCCUCUCGUGCAAUUGUCAGCGAGGAAUCUGUUGUCUUGGAAAUCCAACUAAAAGUAAGAGGUAGAACCAAGUCUCAAGAUAAGCCACUGAUCAAUGGCGUGUGCACUUACUACAGCAGAAGAGAAAACCCCAUUUGCUUUACGAAUUGCUUUUGCACCGUAGAGUUAAGUUUGGAGGAACUUCGGAGAACAGUCCAGGCCACUAUUUUGGGUGUCCGUGUCAAAGAGGAGGGGUCAUGGCCAGGAUUCGGAGGUCGAGUUGCUUGCUCAGUCAUUGGACCUGAUGCCAGUCCUCAGGAAGUUGAGCUUCUUGAUUCUCGUCAUAGAGCCAUGCCGAUGACUUCUCAGCGUUACCUUGUUCUAUCAAGGAAUGUUGUAUCUGUAGACUUUUGUGGAAGCCUGAAUUUUGUAUUGGAAGCCUACUCAGAUUCUGGUGAUAUAAUUGCACAAAAAAAUGAGUCCUUGAAGCCCAAGUUUUGCAACAUAAGCCAGCAAACAUGUAAACUUACUGGAGACAUUGAGUUGGAGAUUACUGUUGCAUGGUCCAGUCUCAUUUCUGAGAAGUGGGACAUCUCGGCACGAAGAUGUUAUGGCUAG
rnacentral:rRNA from 1 species